AGAUUAGAGUUUGAUCAUGGCUCAGAGUGAACGCUGGCGGUAGGCCUAACACAUGCAAGUCGAACGGCAGCACAGUAAGAGCUUGCUCUUACGGGUGGCGAGUGGCGGACGGGUGAGGAAUGCAUCGGAAUCUACUCUGUCGUGGGGGAUAACGUAGGGAAACUUACGCUAAUACCGCAUACGACCUACGGGUGAAAGCAGGGGAUCUUCGGACCUUGCGCGAUUGAAUGAGCCGAUGCCCGAUUAGCUAGUUGGCGGGGUAAGAGCCCACCAAGGCGACGAUCGGUAGCUGGUCUGAGAGGAUGAUCAGCCACACUGGAACUGAGACACGGUCCAGACUCCUACGGGAGGCAGCAGUGGGGAAUAUUGGACAAUGGGGGGAACCCUGAUCCAGCCAUGCCGCGUGUGUGAAGAAGGCCUUAUGGUUGUAAAGCACUUUAAGCGAGGAGGAGGCUCUCUUGGUUAAUACCCAAGAUGAGUGGACGUUACACGCAGAAUAAGCACCGGCUAACUCUGUGCCAGCAGCCGCGGUAAUACAGAGGGUGCGAGCGUUAAUCGGAUUUACUGGGCGUAAAGCGUGCGUAGGCGGCUUUUUAAGUCGGAUGUGAAAUCCCCGAGCUUAACUUGGGAAUUGCAUUCGAUACUGGGAAGCUAGAGUAUGGGAGAGGAUGGUAGAAUUCCAGGUGUAGCGGUGAAAUGCGUAGAGAUCUGGAGGAAUACCGAUGGCGAAGGCAGCCAUCUGGCCUAAUACUGACGCUGAGGUACGAAAGCAUGGGGAGCAAACAGGAUUAGAUACCCUGGUAGUCCAUGCCGUAAACGAUGUCUACUAGCCGUUGGGGCCUUUGAGGUUUUAGUGGCGCAGCUAACGCGAUAAGUAGACCGCCUGGGGAGUACGGUCGCAAGACUAAAACUCAAAUGAAUUGACGGGGGCCCGCACAAGCGGUGGAGCAUGUGGGUUAAUUCUAUGCAACGCGAAAAACUUACCUGGUCUUGACAUAUUAGAAACUUUCAGAAUUGGAUUGGGGCUUCGGGAACUUACAUACAGGGGUGCAUGGCUGUCGUCAGUUCGUGUCGGGAAAUGUUGGGUUAAGUCCCGCAACCAGAGCGCAAACCCUUUUCUUUUAUUGCCAUCACUUCCGGUGGGAAACCUUUAGGGUAUCUGCUAGUGACAACUGAAGGGAGGGCGGGGUACCUACACCUAAGUCUUCUUGGUGGCUCUUAUAAAAUACAGAGGGUCUAC
rnacentral:rRNA from 1 species